rnacentral:lncRNA from 1 species
CAGACCUCCCUCCACUUGGUCCGGGCAAGAAGGCAGGACCCGACCUCUCUCGGACCUUCACGGUCAAAGAAAGCACACCAAAACUCGGCUGUCCUUAAACGAGACGAGUUUCCUUUUCCCGAGCUGCACACCCCCGGGGGUGCUUGCGCUUCCGUGCCCGCCUCACGGCUCAGACCCUUGAUAAGGGACCGGUAACUUCAGCUGCGAGCCCCGAGGUGCCCUGGUGAGCUGCUGUGUGAGGUGAAUUCUCCUCCGUGCCCUAAUCGGGGCGAUAUUGACAUGAACACACACGGCACACGCACUUUGAGACGGUCCAGAAGCAAUUAAUGUGUUUUAACUGAUCUAGAUCUUAACCUCCCAGACCCACGCCGUGCUCUAGGUGCUUUAUUCCUCCCCUCUUGCUAAUGCUAUUAGGAUGUUAUUAGGGGAAGCAGGGCGACGAGAAAGCGGAUUCUCCAACCAAACGCAGGAAAUAGUUAACAGACCCUCGGAUAUAAGCGAUCCCGAACGCAUCUCCCACAUAUAAUCACCGAAAUACUGCAGAAUUGGAGCAAACGCCCACCAGCACAGCACGGCUGCUGGUCGCUCUCGCGGUGUCAAAGGUCAGUGCCUUUUAGCCCUUAUCUUAUUGAAUACACUCUUGAUAAUGAUCGGAAACCGAGAUAUCUUACCGGGACGUAAGGCAGCGAAAGAAAACACGAAGAAACGGUGGAAGAAAUCAGCCUUAUGGUUUUGCCUCACUGUUGAAAUGUUUUGUCUAACCCCUGAAUUCUGACUAUUCUUCACUGAUGGCAGGACUCUUAUUUACAUAAUGUGACAACUGGGUGUAACCAGCUGAAACUAGAGCCAAUUAAGAGACAGUUUCCCCACAGUGCCUCUCCUGAGAAGCUGCUACAAGACCACUACUUGCAGUAGGAGGGAGGAAGCUCCAAGGCUUGUUUGCUUCAUGUAAUUCCUCUCAGAUAUAGCUGUGAGAUGAGCAGAGAAUCACAAUUUCUUAGGUCUGCUGAUAGUUCAGUGAUGCUACAUUUUUGAAACAUGCCAAAACCUUAGGAUCUGCUGGAGUCUGUUUUUAAUUUUGGCUUUGGCACAACAUGCUGUUGGUACAUGACUAAAGCCAGCCACUUGUCAGAGCAGCCAUCUGGCCAUAGACUUUGCUGAUCAGGACAUGGCUUGAC